rnacentral:rRNA from 1 species
GACAGAGGUGCCGAGCGUUAGGCGGAAGCGCUGGGGUUAAAGCGGGUGUAGGCGGACUUCUAAGUGGCGUGUGAAAUCCCACGGCUUAACCGUGGAACUGCUGGGCAUACUGGUUGUCUUGGGCAAUCUAGGGGCUACUGGAACAAACGGUGGAGCGGUGAAAUGCGUAGAUAUCGUUUGGAACGCCAAUGGUGAAAGCAAGUAGCUGGGGAUGUGCCGACUCUGAGACACGAAAGCCAGGGGAGCAAACGGG